rnacentral:rRNA from 1 species
ACGCUCGACACCUACGGGAGGCAGCAGUGGGGAAGUAUUGCACAAUGGGGGAAACCCUGAUGCAGCGACGCCGCGUGGAGGAAGAAGGUCUUCGGAUUGUAAACUCCUGUUGUUGGGGAAAAAGAGGAUGGUACCCAACAAGGAAGUAGACGGCUAACUACGUGACAGCAGCCGCGGUAAUCUGAGCGGGCUGGCAAGGC